GGGUAUAGUUCAGUUGGUAGAACGUCGGUCUCCAAAACCGGAUGUCAAGGGUUCAAGUCCUUUUGCCC
rnacentral:tRNA from 1 species